GAUAAAAUGGCUGAGGUUUAGGCGAUAAAUUGUAAAUUUAUUUACGAAUGUAGAUUCUUUUAUCA